CAGUCGCCGCGGUAAUACGAAGGGGGCUAGCGUUGCUCGGAAUCACUGGGCGUAAAGGGUGCGUAGGCGGGUCUUUAAGUCAGGGGUGAAAUCCUGGAGCUCAACUCCAGAACUGCCUUUGAUACCGAAGAUCUUGAGUUCGGGAGAGGUGAGUGGAACUGCGAGUGUAGAGGUGAAAUUCGUAGAUAUUCGCAAGAACACCAGUGGCGAAGGCGGCUCACUGGCCCGAUACUGACGCUGAGGCACGAAAGCAUGGGGAGCAAACAGGAUUAGAUACCCCUGUAGUCCCUGUCUCUUAUAC
rnacentral:rRNA from 1 species